rnacentral:rRNA from 1 species
AUUGAACGCUGGCGGGAUGUUUAUGACAUGCAAGUCGAACGGCGCACGGACUUCGGUCUGGUGGCGAGUGGCGAACGGGUGAGUAAUGUACCGGAACGCCCAGUAGCGGGGGUAUUAACCACGCGAAAGCAAACAAUGCACGACGCCCUUCGGGUGGGAAAGCGGGGAUCCUUCGGGCCUCGCACUAAUAGAGCGGCCGAUAUCGGAUUAGCUAUUGGUGGGCAACGGUCACCAAGGCGACGAUCCGUAGCUGGUUUGAGAGGACGACCAGCCACACUGGGACUGAGACACGGCCCAGACCCUGCCGAGGCAGCAUGGGGAAUUUUGACAAUGGGGAAACCCUGAUCCAGCCAUCCCGCGUGAUGAAGGCCUUCGGGUUGUAAAGCACUUUUGGCAGGAAGAAAUGGCACGGGAUAAUACCCCGUGCAACUGACGGUACCUGCAGAAUAAGCACCGGCUAACUACGUGCCAGCAGCCGCGGUAAUACGUAGGGUGCAAGCGGUUAAUCGGAAUUACUGGGCGUAAAGCGUGCGCAGGCGGUUCGAAAGAAAGACGGAACUCAGAGUUCAAUCCCCAGAACCGCAUUUAACUACCGAGCUAGAGUGUGUCAGAGGAGGUGGAAUUCCGCGUGUAGCAGUGAAAUGCGUAGAUAUGCGGAGGAACACCCGAUGGCGAAGGCAGCCUGAUAACACUGACGCUCUAUGCAAUUUGCGCGGGGAGCAAACAGGAUUAUUCAUAGUCCACGCCCUAAACGAUGUCAACUAGCUGUUGGGGCCUUCGGGCUCUGGUAGCGAGCGACCGUAGUUGACCGCUCAGAGUACGGUCAAAGAUUGUCCAUGAACUGAUGGGACCAAGCGGUGGAUGAUGUGGAUUAAUUGAUGCAACGCGAAAACCUCAUCCAUUCUUGACAUGUCUGGAAUCAGAAGAGAUUUGGGAGUGCUCGCAAGAGAACCGGAACACAGGUGUGCCAUGGCUGUCGUCAGCUCGUGUCGUGAGAUGUUGGGUUAAGUCCUGCAACGAGCGGCAACCCUUGUCAUUAGUUGCUACGAAAGGGCACUCUAAUGAGACUGCCGGUGACAAACCGAGGAAGGUGGGGAUGACGUCAAGUCCUCAUGGCCCUUAUGGGUAGGGCUUCACACGUCAUACAAUGGUCGGGACAGAGGGUCGCCAACCCGCGAGGGGGAGCCAAUCCCAGAAACCCGAUCGUAGUCCGGAUCGCAGUCUGCAACUCGACUGCGUGAAGUCGGAAUCGCUAGUAAUCGCGGAUCAGCGUGUCGCGGUGAAUACGUUCCCUGGUCUGUACACACCGCCCGUCACACCAUGGGGAGGGGUUUACCAGAAGUAGUUAGUCAACCGUAAGGAGGGCGAUUACCACGGUAGGAUUCAUGACUGGGGUGAAGUCGUAACAAGGUA